CUGCUUGGAAGUAAAUACAGAAUUUCCAUUAUCCUGGAGUGCAUCAUUGAAAGGGAGCUCAUUGAAAUCAUUAUGGUUCAAGGAUGAGGUGGAGCCAACAAGUGCAGCAAUGAAAAUUGUGAGCAAUUAGUUAGAAGGUUGUAGGACAAGGUCCAUUCCUUUGGUUCAGAACAUUUUGCUUCCGAAACGAAGUAGUGCUGAAAUCAAUGCUCGAGUAAAUCUUGAGAUGUAUGCAGUUACUGAGUUGCUUGAUCUGGACAUUUUCAUACCUAAGGUAGUUGUCCACACUUCCCUAUCUGA